GUGGAUUAGAUACCCUGGUAGUCCACGCCCUAAACGAUGUCAACUAGGUGUUGGGGAAGGAGACUUCUUUAGUACCGCAGCUAACGCGCUAAGUUGACCGCCUGGGGAGUACGGUCGCAAGAUUAAAACUCAAAGGAAUUGACGGGGACCCGCACAAGCGGUGGAUUAUGUGGAUUAAUUCGAUGCAACGCGAAAAACCUUACCUACCCUUGACAUGCCAGGAAGAUUUCUGAGAUGAGAUUGUGCCCGAAAGGGAACCUGGACACAGGUGCUGCACGGCUGUCGACAACU
rnacentral:rRNA from 1 species